CUAAUAAAUAUUUUGUGAAAUUUUAUUUUCACCCCUCAACCAAACAUAGAAAUUCAUUUUCCAGAAAAACGUUUUCAAGCAAAAUAUUUUCCACCAAUCACCCAAAACCCUCUUUCCUCUUUUCAAAACUUCAUAUUGUCCUUUCAAUAAAUUAAUCAAACUUUCUGUAUAAAAGUGUAAUCACUAUAAUAGUAGGAGUAUUUGUUUCUCACAAGUGCAAGCGAUUAUCAACUGUCACUUCACUAGAGAGUAAGAGAUGUUCUGGAGAAACCAACGAUGUCGAAGUGAUGUUAUUGAUUUACCGCUCAGUCGUUCGUAUCCACCGCCGUUAGUCUCCGUUGCUCCACCGGUUUGCUUCUUGCUGACAAUCUUACGUUCAUAUUCCCGCCGCCCACCCGAAAGAGACGAGGAAGACUAACCGCCAUCCUGCUUGAACCUUUGCUGCCUGAGUUAUAUAGCUGACUGCGAGAAGGAAGGUUCAAGAUUUUAAGUGCAGGUGAAUUACAAUCUAAUGGUCAUAAUGGGCCCAAAAGUUUUUCUUGAGGAUCCGGUGGUGAAUAAAGAGUAUAUGACACAUUGAAAAUGUCUUUAGGUAGAGAGUGGUGCUAUGGAGAUAUAAACUGAUUUGAGGAAGGCCAUCUUCCUGUUGUGCAGCAUGAUUAAGUCUCUGAAUUGCGACAACACAAGCAACACUCAUACUUAAACUUCCAACAACCUUGAGCUUGGACCGAGUCCAGGAAAAAGCAUUGCUUCAGCUGCAUGGAGGUGGCUGAGGUUUCUUUGCUUUCAUUUGGUCUGCAGCAGGACUGGGGCCAAGGGUAAGUUCAAGUUCAGGUAUUUGAUUAAUUCUUGCUGCUGCUAGUUUCUGUUUUAGCUCAGUAUACAAAGCCUGGUUCUCCUGUCUGAGCCGUUGAGCAGUCUUCCUUAGCCUGUCAUUCUCCCUCAUAAUCUGAAUAUUCUGCCAGUACAGGUCUAAAUUCUGUUUCUCCAUAAAUCAAAUGCUUGAGUUGGCCUGAAACGGAAGAACCAUCAAGAAUUAUGAAGGUGUUUGCAUGAUAUAUUUGGAAAACAUAGCCUAACAUAGUAUGUAAAAAAGAGCAGAUGAUGAAAUAGUAAACUUCUUCUCUUAUCUAUAUAUGCAUGGCAUAAGUUUAUACGCAGCAUUACAGAAAAUUAAAAAGAAGUUAUAGAAGAUAGAGAUGAUCAAAUAGUGAUUUCCAUGGUAAAAAAGAGAUGGAAUUGUAAAUGAAAAACAACAAUAAGAUUGGAUUCCAAUCUGUCUCAUGAUAUUUGAGUCAAGGAGAGCGAGAGUCUCUGGACAUUUCAUAGGGUACUCGAUACACUUUAAGAAAAUAACCAGCUCCAAAGAGGGGAAGCACAUCAUCAUUUGAUCAAAAUAGGGGAAUGGAAUGAAGGAAAACUAGUUUUGGAAGAACACUAAAAUUUUCUCUAUAUGGCAUUUACUUACUAUAGAGAACAGACUCCAAACCUUCAGAUCAAAAGCUGUUAGGGACAACUGGUUUUGGUUGGAGUCUCUUUGCGAUACGUGCUUAUUUAUACUAUUAUGUCACUUGUACGAUGGACAAAGAAAUACUAGAAGCAGCACACACGAGAAUGGCGCGCCUUGUUCAAGAAAUGCUCCAGAAACCAACUUGCAAAGCCCCCUUUUAUUCUCCUUUAUCCUCACAUAAAAACACGUCACAUUUUUAGUUAAGAAUACACUUCAUUGAUGAUUCUAUUACAAGGAAAGAAGAAUGUUGGUUUUUGCAUGUGGAUUUUGCUUGUUUAGUUAUGCAAAAUUUGUUAGAAAAAGCAGCAUAAAAUAUGACAUUCCUGAAGAAGCAAAUGGCCUGAGUAAAGGGAGAAAUAGCAUGGGAGACAGCAAGAAAGUGAUUUGUGAGAAUUUUGAUGUUCAUGAGAGGAACCUGAAUGUGAGUAGGAAAAUAAUAAGCAUUCAAUGACUUUUACAGAACUAACUCGUGUUUAUUAAAGUGAUUUGCCUAAUGUUUGAGUAGAUCAACAAUAAUUACAAGGAGUAGUAUUUUAAUACUAGUAACUAGUAAACUUUGGCUACCUUAUGUGGUUUUUCCGGAAUUACAAGAGAAUCCCUUCAUUUUUAGAACAUCGCUGUUUAAUUCAUUACCUAUAAAAGAGAAUAAUAAAUGGUUUAAAUAAAAAGAAAGAAACAGAGAAGGAAAAUCUUGGGCAGCUGGUAAGAAUGCAAUAACUAUUUUUCUUUGCUUAUGUUUUGGAGAGUACUGGAAUCCAUUAAGUAUUAUUUUUCUGUGUUUUUAUUUUGGAGAGCUUGAAAAACGUCGAAGGAAAUUUUGAAAUCUGUUACCAGCUAAUUUUUGUUGAAAGUAUUUUCGAAUUACAAUGUCACAUUAUAAGAAAGGGUCUUGAGUCAUUUGUUGUUCACAUGUUAUAGAUUAACAAUAAUACCAUUCUUCCUUGAUAACUAUUUUGUGACUCAGGUAUAAGUUAUCAACCUUGUCUCAGGUAGCACUUAUUUGCUUACAUAGAGAAACGAUGGGAACUUAUUUUCUAUGCCAAACUUGUAAUUAGAUAGCAAAGAAACCAUAUUCUUACAAAGCCACGGCAAGAACUUUUGGAGAAAACUGCAUAGGUGCAUUCAAAUCCUUGAAGGCUGGCAGAUAUGAUAUAAAAAUUUUAUUUCUCAUUGAAUGUCA